AGACUGAGAGUAGCUUCCGACUGUAAACAAUGGCGAAUCUUCCGAUGGAUACCGUCGCCGAUGUAUUCCACCGUCUCCCUGCUACUACACUGGUUCGAUGCCGCGUCCUCUCGAAGCCCUGCUGCUCUCUUAUCGACAGUCCCGACUUCAUCGCCUCGCAUCUCAAACGCACGCUCGAAACCGAAGAGCACAUCAUGAUCCUACUGCGAACCUAUCUCCGUCUACGUACGGUGUACCUCGACGCACCGGAUAAAGUCUCCCUCGUCAAUCAUCCUCUGCGAACCGGUGGUUUCACGGAAGUUUUCGGUUCGGUUAACGGUAUAAUCGGUUUAACCAACUCUCCUACUGAUUUAGCGCUUUUCAAUCCAUCGACUCGCAAAAUCCACCGCCUACCGGUUGAGCCUAUCGAUUUCUACGAACGUCAGAUCACUCGCGAGUACGUGUUCUACGGAUUAGGUCACGAUUCGGUGAGCGAUGAUUACAAAGUCGUGAGGAUGAUUCAGUCUAAAGAUAGAGGUGGUGAUGAAAGCUUUGGCUAUCCUUUCGAAGUCAAAGUGUUCAGCUUAAAGAGUAACAAAUGGAAGAGAAUCGAUCUUCUUCCCGAGGACGUUGAGAUUCUCUUCGACAACUUCUACUUCCAUCUCCUGUAUCGCCGCGGGAACGGUGUUCUCGCUAGCAACAAUCUUCACUGGAUUUUGAUUCAUAACGAAGGAGAUAUCGGGAUGAACACGAUAAUCAAAUUUGAUCUCGCUACUGAGGAGCUUGGAGUCGUCAAUUUCUCGCAUGAUGUUUAUGUUAAAGGGAUGGAUAUAGGUGUGUUAGGUGGCUGCCUCUGUAUGAUGUGUUAUAACGAGGUUAGACAUGCGGAUGUUUGGAUUAUGAGGGAGUAUGGAGGAGAGUGGAGCAAGUUCGUUUCUGUGCCGCAGCCGGAGAGUGUGGUUUCGUUUGAGUUUGUGAGGCCUUUGGUUUAUUCUAAGGACAGGAGCAAGAUUUUGCUGGAGAUAAACAAUGGGAAGCUCUUUUGGUUUGAUUUGGCGAGUAAGAGUCUUGAAAGGCUUGUGAUAAAGGGUUGUGAGGUUCUUCCAUGUAACGCGGAAAUUGUUGUGAGUAGCCUUGUUUUGGGGUGUAAAGAAAAGAAAAUGGUGCAGAAGGGUAACAAAAGGUUGUAUGCAUAUCUUCAUUUUUUUGAGUUUUUAAAAUUGCUAAUGGUUCGAAUGUAAUAACUUGCUUAAACCAUCUUGUGUUACAAUCUCAGGAGGGAUGAUUUUCUGUCCAAGGGAUUCAAGCUGAAGUUGUGAGCAAAGCAGGGGAACUUCAAAACCCAAAAAUUUAUGAAUGUAAGUGUAAAGAAUCUAAUGGUCGUGACUCGUGACUGUUUCCUUCAAGUUUGUAUUCUUGUUUCUCUUCGUGUGAGAUUUCCAUUCUUAACCUGGAUACGUUAUUGGAAACCUUAGUAAGUGGAACUUGAGUCAACAUCGUAGGGUAACGUUUACGAGUCACACAAUAUAUGAAUAUGGUGAACAAUUCUUACUAUGUCAAGUGUUAUUGGAGUUUGAACUGUGUAGGUGCUGUCACAAUUAUGAAAGAAUCUUAUUGUUUCAAGUGUUUUAGAGUUCGAACCGUGACAUCGAGUAGGUGCAAAUCUUGACUUUUUGUUUGAUUUUCAGGUGCAAGGCGUAGGUGGAAAGGAAAUGGCUUGAAGCAGCUUCAUCAAAUGCUAAACCCAUAUUAGGUCUUAGUACUAGUUAGCUUAACUAUGUAGUACGUAUAUAUCCUAAGAGAAGACAGUGUGCUUAGGUAACUUCUUUUGAGUAUGGCAUGUUUCAGUAUAACGUAAUUUGGUUUCCGCUUAGACUCGCAUCCUCAUCAAAAAUCUAAAUAGCCAAACGGGAUUUUCAGGACGUUUUCGUUUCGUUAGUUGCAUAUAUCAAAUCUAAGAUCAGAAUGAAAUUUGCAGGAUGAUUCAUGGACGUUAAAAAUUAUUUAUGAAAUAAAGUGGUCUUAUUAAUAUUUUUUGUUUAAUAACAUUUAGACAAGAAUUAAAAGAGGAAAUAAUUGGGUAGGAAGACGACAGUAAGGCCAAACUCAAGAAAAUGUAUCCACACAGCGACUGAAAUGUGCAAACAAUUAAAAAAUUGCCAAUGCUUUUUGUCCAUUAGAUUGUGUUAAGAUGAAUACAUUUUUCGGACUUUUAUUGGGCCGAGCCAACGAGGCCCAUGAAGAAUAAAAUUACACCCUCUUCGAAUCAAAAUAUCCGCGUCCCUAUGUUGUCAAACCCUAGAGCUGCUCACUCACACUGAAACUGAGAGUAGCUUCCCAAAGAAAACAAUGGCGAAUAUGAAUAUGCCGAUGGAUGUCGUUAACGAUCUAUUCCUCCGCCUCCCUGCUACUACGCUCCUCCGAUGUCGCGUCCUCUCGAAGCCUUGCUGCUCUCUCAUCGACAGUCCCGACUUCAUCGCCUCGCAUCUCAAACGCACGCUAGAAACCGCAGAGCACCUCAUGAUCCUGCUACAAUCGCCUCAGCUUCUUCGUACGGUGUACCUCGACGCACCGAAUAAACUCUCCGACGUUGAGCAUCCUCUACAAACCGGCGGUGUCACGGAAGUUUUCGGUUCAGUUAACGGCGUGAUCGGUUUAACGAACUCUCCUCUCGACUUGGCGCUUUUCAAUCCAUCAACUCGCAAAAUCCACCGCCUACCGAUUGCGCCUAUUGAUUUCCCUGAGCAUUCCAUCAGUCGCGAGAAUGUGUUUUACGGAUUAGGUUACGAUUCGAUGAGCGAUGAUUACAAAGUCGUGAGGAUCAUUCAGUCUAAGGAUGAAGGUGAUGAAGGCGAUGAAAGCUUUGGUUACGCUUUAGAAAUCAAAGUUUUCAGCUUAAAGAGUAAUCAAUGGAAGAGAAUCCGUGUUAACUUUGAGGUUCAGAUUCUCUUCAUCUACUUCUAUUACGAUCUGCUGCAUCGCCGUGGGAAUGGUGUUCUCGCUAGCAACAGUCUUCACUGGAUUUUGCCUCGAACUGGUGGACAUACUGCGUUCAACACGAUUAUCAGAUUUGAUCUUGCUUCUGACAAUCUUGGAGUCCUUAACUUCCCGCAGGAUCUUUACUGUGAAGAUGAUAUGGAUAUUGGUGUGUUAGAUGGAUGCCUUUGCUUGAUGUGUUACAGUGAGUCUAGCCAUGUGGAUGUUUGGAUUUUGAGGGAGUAUCAAGGAAAAUGGAGCAAGUUCAUUACUGUGCCGAAACCAGAGACUGUGGUUUCGUUUGAGUUUGUGAGACCUAUGAUCUACUCCAAGGACAGGAGCAAGAUUUUGCUGGAGUUAAACAAUGGGAAGCUCGUGUGGUUUGAUUUGGAGAGUAAGAGUUUUGAAGCGCUUGAAAUAAAGGGCUGUGAGGGUCCGUGUAAUGCUGAAAUCGUGGUGAGUAGCCUUGUUUUGGGAUGUAAUGGUGAUCCUUGCAGAGCUCAAGAAAAGAAGAUAAUGCAGGAGAGUGACAACAGGUUGUAUGCUUAUCUUUCUAAAGUGCUUUAUUAUUUGAUUCCCUGAUAAAUUUUACAGUAAGGCAAACCUUUUUUUUUUUUUACAGUAAGGCAAACCUGUGUAUUGGGUAUCUUCAUUCUUUGAGAUUUUAGAAUUGCAAAUGGUAAAAAGUAACUACUUGCUUAAACAUAUUAUGUUACAAUCUCAGGGGGGAUGAAUGUCUGUCCAAGGGAUUCAAGCUGAAUUUAUGAACAAAGCAGGGGAACUUUAUAAAGGUAAGCAAUCUAAUGGUCGUGAGUGUUUCCUGAGUUGGCAUUCUUCAUAAUAUAUGAAAAAUCUUAUUGUUUCAAGUGUUUAGGAGUUUGAACUGUGUAGUUGCAGAAAUUGACUUUUGGUUUGAUUUUCAGGUUCAGGGCGUUAGAGGGGAGAGGAAAUUGCUUGAAGCAGCUCUAUCAAAUUCUAAUCCCAGUCUUAGUACUAAUUAGCUUUAACCUCUGUAGAAGGUAUAUUUCUUAAGUGAAGACAGUGUGCUUAGGUAACUUAUUUUGAGUAUGGACUAUUGCAAUAUAACGCUGUAGUUGGCUGCUGCAUAUAUGAAAUCUAAGAAUCUAGUAAAACCAAAAUCUGGCUGCAAAUAGUUACUGAAGAAUAUUUGACUAAAUACACAAUUGACAUGAUGAAAGUCGCCAGUAAACAAAAUACACUAGAAACGAUCUAACAGCGUUGUGCACAGGACAAUGUUUUGAAUGUUAGUGAUUGAUUUGAUUGAUUACAAGAGAAAUGAUCACUCACACACACACUCUCCCCUCUAAACCUCACAUCCUCUCAUCACGUAAAUAAACUCCUAAACCCAGAUAAUCCCCCACCAAAACCCCUCCACCUAAUAUAUAGACAAAAUAACUAAACCAAAAAGUUAUUAAACCAUAGUUACUUUGAUUAUACUAGAGUUUCUUGCGCUUAUCCUCCCUUAACCAAUGCUUAUUCUGAUCCUCUCUUAACCAAUUUCCUUAUGUGUCAGUUGGUUAUCAGCACAAUUCAAGCUAACAAUGCAACCGAGGAAGUCAACUCAUGCAUAAUCAUCGUCUCAGGGAUACUGACUUGCUGUUGAAAAUGCUAAGUUUAUUGUUCCACUGUGGGCUCUUUUUAUUCCUCUUAGCCUUGACCUCAUUUUGUCCAUUAGAUCGUGUUGAGACUUAUAAAGCUAAAUACAAUUUUUCUUGGGACGAGCCCACGAGGCCCAAAAAGAGAAAAAGUUACAAUUAAUUACACAAUUGUCCUUCUUCGAAACAAAUAUCUGAAUCCUGUGAAACCCUUGCGGUGCUCACUCACACUGAGACUGAGAGAGUAGCUUCCCAGAGAAAACAAUGGCGAAUCUUCCGAUGGAUAUCGUCAACGACGUCUUCCUCCGUCUCCCCGCUACUACGCUGGUCCGAUGUCGCGUCCUCUCGAAGCCUUGCUUCUCUCUCAUCGACAGUCCUGACUUCGUUGCCUCGCAUCUCAAACGCACGCUCGAAACCGAAGAGCACCUCAUGAUCCUACUCCGAUCCCCUCGGCUUCUACGUACGGUGUACCUCGACGCACCGGAUAAAAUCUCAGACGUUGAGCAUCCUCUGCAAACCGAUGGCUCCACGGAGGUUUUCGGUUCGGUUAACGGCUUAGUUGGUUUAACGAACUCUCCUGUUGACUUAGCUCUUUUCAAUCCAUCAACUCGGAAGAUCCACCGCUUACCGAUUGAGCCUAUUGAUUUCACUGAGCAUUCCAUCUCUCGCGAGAAUGUGUUUUACGGAUUAGGUUACGAUUCCGUGAGCGACGAUUACAAAGUUGUGAGGAUGGUUCAGUCUAAGGAUAGAGGUAUUGAAAGAUUUGGCUAUCCUUUCGAAGUCAAAGUUUUCAGCUUAAAAAGGAACAGAUGGAAGAGAAUCCGUGAGGUUCAGAUUCUUUUCAUUCACUUCUAUUACCGUUUUCUGUAUCCUAGUGGAAAUGGUGUUCUUGCUGGCAACAGUCUUCACUGGAUUUUGCCUCGGCGUCAAGGACUUAUCGCCGGCAACAGGAUAAUCAGAUUUGAUCUUGCGUCUGAUGAUCUUGGAGUCCUCAGUUUUCCACAGGAGCUUUACUUUGAAGAUAAUAUGGAGAUGGGUGUGUUAGAUGGCUGCCUUUGCUUCAUGUGUUACAGCAUGUUUAGCCAUGUGGAGGUUUGGAUUUUGAGGGAGUAUCAAGGAAAAUGGUCUAAGUUCAUUACUGUGGAGUCGUAUAACUUUAUCAGACCUCUGAUCUAUUCUAAGGACAGGAGCAAGAUUUUGAUGGAGAUAAACGGUGAGAAGCUGGUGUGGUAUGAUUUGGCUAGUAAGAGUUUUGAAACGUUUGUGAUAAAGGGUUGUGAGGGUCUUCAAUGUAGCGCAGAAAUUGUUGUGAGUAGCCUUGUUUUGGGAUGUAAAGGUGAUCCUCACAGAGCUCGAGAAAAGAAAAUGUUGCAGAAGGGUAGCAAAAGGUGGGGGUAUGCUCAUCUUUAUAAUGUGCUUUCUUACUUGUUUUUGAUUCCUUGAUCAGAUUUCUCGAUAUAGUUAAGACAAUAAGGCAAAUCUGAGUCUUGAGUAUCUUCAUUCUUUGAGAUUUUAGGAUUGUAAAUUGUAACUUGCUUAAAACAUCUUAUGUUACAAUCUCAGGAGAGAUGAAUGUCUGUCCAAGGGAUUCAAGCUGAAGUUAUGAACAAAGCAGGGGAACUUUAUAAAGGUAAACUUAAUGAUUCUAAUGGUCGUGAAUGUUUCCCUCAAGUUGGCAUUCUUCACAAUAUAUGGAAAAUCAUAUUGUUUAUAGUGUUUUGGAGUUUGAACCGUGUAGGUGCAAAUCUUGAUCUCUUGGUUUGAUUUUCAGGUUCAGGGCGUUAGGGGGGAGAGGAAAAGGAAAUUGCUUGAAGCAGCUCUAUCAAAUUCUAAUCCCAGUCUUAGUACUAAUUAGCUUUAACCUCUGUAGAAGGUAUAUUUCUUAAGAGAAGACAGUGUGCUUAGGUAACUUCUUUUGAGUAUUGCAUGUUGCAAUAUAACGCUGUCGUUGACUGCUGCAUAUAUAAAAUUUAAGCAUCUAGUAAAAUUAAAAUCAGUCUGCAAAUAGUUACUGAAGAAUAUUUGAUUAGAUACACAAUAAUAUAAAGAAAAGCGUGAUAAUUAGAAGAAAAAAAAUUGUUGAUAAACAAAAACAUAAGAAACUAGCUACCAGAGUUGAUUCAAGCUAACAAGUCAAUUGACUGUCUUGUUGAAGAAAAGGCAAUCAGAUUUUUUUCUAAAUCAAAUUUGUCCAUGAGGUUGUGUUGUGACUUGAAAAGAUUAAUACAUUUUUUCUUACGAGAUUUAGUGGGCCGAGCAUACGAGGCCCACAAAUGUACUUGGAAACAAAUAUCUAAAUCACCAGGGAUUGUAAUUUUGUGAAACCCUUGAUUUUCUCAGUCACACCGAGACUGAGAGAGAGUAGCUUCCCAGAGAAGACAAUGGCGAAUAUGCCGAUGGAUAUCGUCACCGACGUCUUCCUCCGUCUCCCCGCUUCUAUGCUGGUCCGAUGCCGCGUCCUCUCGAAGCCUUGCUUCUCUCUCAUCGACAGUCCCGACUUCGUCGCAUCGCAUCUCAAACGCACGCUCGAAACCGAAGAGCACCUCAUGAUCUUGCUGCAAUCCGAUCGCCUUUUACGUAUGGUGUACCUCGACGCACCGGAUAAACUCUCCGACGUUGAGAAUCCUUUGCCAACCGGUGGUUUCACGGAGGUUUUCGGUUCGGUUAACGGUUUGAUCGGUUUAACCAACUCUCCUGUUGAUUUAUCGAUUU
rnacentral:lncRNA from 1 species